CCCUUAGAUGUCCUGGGCCGCACGCGCGUUACACUGAUGCAUUCAACGAGCUUAUAACCUUGGCCGAGAGGCCUGGGCAAUCUUGUUAACGUGCAUCGUGAUAGGGAUAGAUUAUUGAAAUUAUUAAUCUUGAACGAGGAAUUCCUAGUAAACGCAGAUCAUCAAUCUGCAUUGAUUACGUCCCUGCCCUUUGUACACACCGCCCGUCGCACCUACCGAUUGAAUGGUCCGGUGAAAUCUUCGGAUUGAGACUUUGAUUUGUUUACUCAAAACGCUGUUUCAAGAAGUUGAUUAAACCUUACCAUUUAGAGGAAGGUGAAGUCGUAACA
rnacentral:rRNA from 1 species